AGCGAACGCUGGCGGCAGGCCUAACACAUGCAAGUCGAACGAACCUUUCGGGGUUAGUGGCGGACGGGUGAGUAACACGUGGGAACGUGCCUUUAGGUUCGGAAUAACUCAGGGAAACUUGUGCUAAUACCGAAUGUGCCCUUCGGGGGAAAGAUUUAUCGCCUUUAGAGCGGCCCGCGUCUGAUUAGCUAGUUGGUUGAGGUAAUGGCUCACCAAGGCGACGAUCAGUAGCUGGUCUGAGAGGAUGAUCAGCCACAUUGGGACGGAGACACGGCCCAAACUCCUACGGGAGGCAGCAGUGGGGAAUCUUGCGCAAUGGGCGAAAGCCUGACGCAGCCAUGCCGCGUGAAUGAUGAAGGUCUUAGGAUGGUAAAAUUCUUUCACCGGGGACGAUAAUGACGGUACCCGGAGAAGAAGCCCCGGCUAACUUCGU
rnacentral:rRNA from 1 species